UACGUAGGGGGCAAGCGUUGUCCGGAUUUACUGGGCGUAAAGGGUGCGUAGGCGGCCAUUUAAGUCGGAUGUGAAAUCCCCGAGCUUAACUUGGGUGCUGCAUUUGAAACUGGGUGUCUAGAGUGCAGGAGAGGUAAGUGGAAUUCCUAGUGUAGCGGUGAAAUGCGUAGAGAUUAGGAAGAACACCAGCGGCGAAGGCGACUUACUGGACUGUAACUGACGCUGAGGCAUGAAAGCGUGGGGAGCAAACAGG
rnacentral:rRNA from 1 species